AAAAGGUUACCCCACCGACUUUGGGUGUUACAAACUCUCAUGGUGUGACGGGCGGUGUGUACAAGGCCCGGGAACGUAUUCACCGCGGCAUGCUGAUCCGCGAUUACUAGCGAUUCCGACUUCAUGUAGGCGAGUUGCAGCCUACAAUCCGAACUGAGAAUGGCUUUAAGAGAUUAGCUUACUCUCGCGAGUUCGCAACUCGUUGUACCAUCCAUUGUAGCACGUGUGUAGCCCAGGUCAUAAGGGGCAUGAUGAUUUGACGUCAUCCCCACCUUCCUCCGGUUUGUCACCGGCAGUCUCACCAGAGUGCCCAACUUAAUGCUGGCAACUGAUAAUAAGGGUUGCGCUCGUUGCGGGACUUAACCCAACAUCUCACGACACGAGCUGACGACAACCAUGCACCACCUGUAUCCAUGUCCCCGAAGGGAACGUCUAAUCUCUUAGAUUUGCAUAGUAUGUCAAGACCUGGUAAGGUUCUUCGCGUAGCUUCGAAUUAAACCACAUGCUCCACCGCUUGUGCGGGCCCCCGUCAAUUCCUUUGAGUUUCAGCCUUGCGGCCGUACUCCCCAGGCGGAAUGCUUAAUGCGUUAGCUGCAGCACUGAAGGGCGGAAACCCUCCAACACUUAGCAUUCAUCGUUUACGGUAUGGACUACCAGGGUAUCUAAUCCUGUUUGCUACCCAUACUUUCGAGCCUCAGCGUCAGUUACAGACCAGACAGCCGCCUUCGCCACUGGUGUUCUUCCAUAUAUCUACGCAUUUCACCGCUACACAUGGAGUUCCACUGUCCUCUUCUGCACUCAAGUUUCCCAGUUUCCGAUGCACUUCUUCGGUUGAGCCGAAGGCUUUCACAUCAGACUUAAAAAACCGCCUGCGCUCGCUUUACGCCCAAUAAAUCCGGACAACGCUUGCCACCUACGUAUUACCGCGGCUGCUGGCACGUAGUUAGCCGUGGCUUUCUGGUUAAAUACCGUCAAUACCUGAACAGUUACUCUCAGAUAUGUUCUUCUUUAACAACAGAGUUUUACGAGCCGAAACCCUUCUUCACUCACGCGGCGUUGCUCCAUCAGACUUUCGUCCAUUGUGGAAGAUUCCCUACUGCUGCCUCCCGUAGGARUUUGGGCCGUGUCUCAGUCCCAAUGUGGCCGAUUACCCUCUCAGGUCGGCUACGUAUCAUUGCCAUGGUGAGCCGUUACCCCACCAUCUAGCUAAUACGCCCGGGGACCUUCCAAAAGGGAUAGCCGAAGCCAUCUUUCAAGCUCGGAACAGGCGGCCCAAGUUGUUAUGCGGGAUUAGCACUGUUUUCCAGGGGUUACCCCCGCUUUUGGGGGAGGUUUCCCACGGGUACUCCCCAGUUCCCCCCCUCCCCAAUGGUAAAUUGGGGGGGGCCCCACCUAAACCAAAGUUUUUUCCAUUCGGGUU
rnacentral:rRNA from 1 species